CCUACGGGGGGCAGCAGUGGGGAAUAUUGGACAAUGGGGGCAACCCUGAUCCAGCCAUGCCGCGUGUGUGAAGAAGGCCCUCGGGUUGUAAAGCACUUUCAGUGAGGAAGAACGCCUGGUGGUUAAUACCCAUCAGGAAAGACAUCACUCACAGAAGAAGCACCGGCUAACUCCGUGCCAGCAGCCGCGGUAAUACGGAGGGUGUGAGCGUUAAUCGGAAUUACUGGGCGUAAAGCGCGCGUAGGUGGCUUGAUAAGCCGGUUGUGAAAGCCCCGGGCUCAACCUGGGAACGGCAUCCGGAACUGUCAAGCUAGAGUGCAGGAGAGGAAGGUAGAAUUCCCGGUGUAGCGGUGAAAUGCGUAGAGAUCGGGAGGAAUACCAGUGGCGAAGGCGGCCUUCUGGACUGACACUGACACUGAGGUGCGAAAGCGUGGGUAGCAAACAGGAUUAGAUACCCUUGUAGUC
rnacentral:rRNA from 1 species